AGAUGAGGCACCGUCCCAGAAAUAGCCCCCGGCGCCCUGCCUCACACCCGGCCUUUGUUUGUGGCCUGCUCGGAUCUCGGGCUUUCCUGGUCCCUGGAAGCAGCAGCCCCCACCCAGGCCCAUGGGACAGAGUUUGCAGCCAGAGCCGUCCGGGGAGAGGAGCGGUGGAAGGAAGCCGGCUGAGGCGGCCAGGGAGGGGUCUGAGCUGGAACACGGCCUGUGUGUUAUUGUGGACAGCUUCUACAGAUACGCCAAGGGCCCGCCUGGAGCAAAGGCACUGGACCAGGGGGCUUUCCAGAACUUGCUCAGCAACGAGUUGAGCCAUCAGCUCACGAACACAGAGGUCGAGGCAGCCGUGAUGCGCACCUUUGAGAAGUUAGAUGCCAACAAAGAUCAGAAAAUCUCCUUCGACGAGUACUGGCAACUCAUCGCCUGGAUUUGCCAAGUGAUCCGGCGCCGUGAUUAUAAUGAGUAGUGACUGGGGGGUUGCAUCUGGUGGGGAAACUGAGGCAUGCACCGCAUCGGGAAAGGCCUCCAAAUCCUUUGCCUUAAAGACUCAAAGCAAACCUGCACCUCCCUCUCCCUUGGAAACCCAGUGACCUUAAUCUGCCUGCUGGGAUCUCCCCACCCCCAUACUGCACAUCUUAUGCGGCCCCCGCCCCUCCUCGCCAGGAUCCCAUCCUGAUCAGCCCUCGGCCUUUUCUCUCCAUGCUGCCCAUCUCUCCCCAGUGCUGCUCAACUCCCCCACUGCUGGGAUUCACCCCGUACACCCCAAAUCCAUCCUGGCCUAUGCUCCCCAUGUCACCCUCCUCCCCUGCUGCCAGGAUCCCUCACCAUUCCAUGCCCCCCCUCCAGCCCUGGCAUGGGAUGCCCACCCCACCCAUCUCUCCAGCUGCUGGGCUCCCCCGCCGAUCCCUGCCCCGUUGCUGGGAUCUCUCCCCCACCCCCUACGGCCUGCCCUCCCAGUGCCACCCUGCUAUCACUUCGUAACAUGGCUUGAAUAAAGAGUCUGCUCUGCGCUCCGGU
ensembl:lncRNA